UUAGGUGGCUAUAGCGACGGGGUACCACCUCUUCCCAUUCCGAACAGAGAAGUUAAGCCCGUCAGCGCCGAUGGUACUGCGUAAAAGUGGGAGAGUAGGUCGCUGCCAAUU
rnacentral:rRNA from 1 species